rnacentral:rRNA from 1 species
AUUGAACGCUGGCGGCAGGCCUAACACAUGCAAGUCGAGCGGAGCGGCGGACGGGCGAGUAAUGACUAGGAAGCUGCCUGGCAGUGGGGGAGAAAGUCCGGCAACGGGCGCUAAUAACGCAUACUAGCAGACGAGCCUAGGUCGGAUUAGCUAGUUGGUGGGGGAAGGCCCUACCAAGGCGACGAUCCGUCACUGGUCUGAGAGGAUGAUCAGGCACACUGGAACUGAUACACGGUCCAGACUCCUACGGGAGGCAGCCGUGGGGAAUAUUGGACAAUGGGCGCAAGCCUGAUCCAGCCAUGCCGCGUGUGUGAAGAAGGUCUUCGGAUUGUAAAGCACUUUAAGUUGGGAGGCGUUACCCGCAGAAUAAGCACCGGCUAACUUCGUGCCAGCAGCCGCGGUAAUAC